rnacentral:rRNA from 1 species
GAUGAACGCUGGCGGCGUGCCUAAUACAUGCAAGUCGAGCGAACGGAUGAGUAGCUUGUUUCUCUGAUGUUAGCGGCGGACGGGUGCGUAACACGUGGAUAACCUCCCUAUACGCCUUAGAUAACUUCGGGAAACCGGAGCUAAUACCGGUUAAUCUUUUGCUUCGCAUGGUUCAUCAGUGUAAGACGAUCUUGCUGUCACUUAUAGAUGGAUCCGCGCUGCAUUAGCUAGUUGGUAAGGUAACGGCUUACCAAGGCAACGAUGCAUAGCCGACCUGUGAGGGGGGGCAGCCACACUGGAACGGAGACACGGUCCAGACUCCUACGGGAGGCAGCAGUAGGGAAUCUUCCGCAAGGGGCGAAAGCCAGACGUAGCAACGCCGCGUGAGGGAUGAAGGUCUUCGGAUCGGAAAACUCUGUUAUUAGGGAAGAACAUAUGUGUAAGUAACGGUGCACAUCUUGACGGUACCAAAUCAGAAAGCCACGGCUAACUACGUG